rnacentral:lncRNA from 1 species
UUGUGGUUUUAUAAAUUAUUUUCUUAUUAAUAUACAAUCCUUAUCUUCCAUAGAUUAAACAAACUUCUUCAAUUGUUUUUCUUAGUCAACCUAAUUUGCAAUCAAAAAUGCAAUUUCUUCAAUUCUUCAAUAUUAAUAUAAAUAUAACAAUACAGAAAGUAAAAAGACAUCCUGCAUUUAGUAGUAUUAUCAUAAGCUCUAGAAAAGUAUUUACUAGACUAAAAGGAUUUAAGAUCCUCACAUAACAAAACAAUUCUUAUUGAUCUUAGCUAUACAUUUUGUAGUGCCACAAUUUUAAAGCAUCACCUUUUUUUGCAAAUACGUAUUCAAGUAACAAUCUGGAACAUACACACACUAAUUAUACUCGAACAGAAUAUAAAUGAUACUUACAGGUGGUGCUCAAAAUACUCCAAAAUCAGUGAAUAUGGGACUGACGGACAUGAAAGUGGCUGCUGCUGAAGCUUUUCCUCAUCGAGGUGCUUUUCAUUGUGUAUCGAAGGCGAUGUCAGGUUUUUAUCGCGACAUCUUCACCACAAAAGCCUUGACCAGCGGCAUACUCUAGUGGCUGCUCCAGUUCAAACUCAACCGUCAAAACAAAGAAAGCAGGUUGAUAAGCAACGGACCUCAAACCAAACCUGGUCACAAGACCCACAAAUGUGAAGAGAGCCAUCCUCUUGCAAAGAGUGCGCCACGAAAUCAAGGCCCACUCCAGAUUCCGAGGACAGAAAGUGUCGAACGGCGUUUGCAGGUGAAAUUUCUUGGAGUAGCUUUGGAAAAACCGACUGGUGGGUCUGACGCAAAUUGGUUGCGGACCAGGGUGAGAAAUAUUGGUGGCGGUAUC